rnacentral:rRNA from 1 species
AGCGAACGUUAGCGGCAGGCCUAAUACAUGCAAGUCGAACGGCAGCACAGCAGAGCUUGCUCUGUGGGUGGCGAGUGGCGGACGGGUGAGGAAUACAUGGGAAUCUGCCCAGUCGUGGGGGGAUAACGUAUGGAAACGUACGCUAAUACCGCAUGCGCCCUACGGGGGAAAGUCGGGGACCGCAAGGCCUGGCGCGAUUGGAUGAGCCCAUGUUCGAUUAGCUAGUUGGCGGGGUAAAGGCCCACCAAGGCGACGAUCGAUAGCUGGUCUGAGAGGAUGAUCAGCCACACUGGAACUGAGACACGGUCCAGACUCCUACGGGAGGCAGCAGUAGGGAAUAUUGGACAAUGGGGGCAACCCUGAUCCAGCCAUGCCGCGUGAGUGAAGAAGGCCCUCGGGUUGUAAAGCUCUUUUGUCCGGAAAGAAAAGCAAUCGGUUAAUACCCGGUUGUUCUGACGGUACCGGAAGAAUAAGCACCGGCUAACUUCGUGCCAGCAGCCG